rnacentral:rRNA from 1 species
UGGGGAAUAUUGCACAAUGGGCGGAAGCCUGAUGCAGCGACGCCGCGUGGGGGAUGAAGGCCUUCGGGUUGUAAACUCCUUUCGACAGGGACGAAGCUUUUGUGACGGUACCUGUAUAAGAAGCACCGGCUAACUACGUGCUAGCAGCCGCGGUAAUACGUAGGGUGCGAGCGUUGUCCGGAAUUACUGGGCGUAAAGAGCUCGUAGGUGGUUUGUCGCGUCGUCUGUGAAAUUCCGGGGCUUAACUCCGGGCGUGCAGGCGAUACGGGCAUAACUUGAGUGCUGCAGGGGUAACUGGAAUUCCUGGUGUAGCGGUGAAAUGCGCAGAUAUCAGGAGGAACACCGAUGGCGAAGGCAGGUUACUGGGCAGUUACUGACGCUGAGGAGCGAAAGCAUGGGUAGCGAACAGGAUUAGAUACCCUGGUAGUCCAUGCCGUAAACGGUGGGCGCUAGGUGUGAGGGUCUUUCUACGACUUUCGUGCCGUAGCUAACGCAUUAAGCGCCCCGCCUGGGGAGUACGGCCGCAAGGCUA